CUAAAUCAGAGUAGUGUCGCUCAAUGAAUUUCCUCUACUGAACUACGCAGCCUGCAGUGCCUGAGCUACCAAGAAUUUCAGAGCAAGGUCACCAGAAUGCCUUACAAAAGACGACUUCGACAUUGGAGGGUCUCAUUGCGGACGAUUCACACCACCAGCCCUCCUCUGCCCACAGCGAAGAUGGAGCUGCUAAUAAUGGGUCUAGGGAUAUCAGUGGGGAUUCUUCAUCUGUUGAUUUGAAAAGCCCAGUCCCACUAGGGACACAUGCAGAUGUCAUGGAAGACGAAGGAUGGAUCACAAUUCCAUGCAAGGCAUUUCCUGAAAGUUGGAACGACAUAUCAGAAAUGGUUCAGUUGCAAGCUCUGGACCGUUCCUUCCUUUUUCCAGGCGAGCAGGUUCCUAUACUGGCGUGCCUGUCAGCUUCUAAGCAAGAUGUAUAGGUUAUAUCCCCCUUUAGAAUUGCUUCACUAAUGUCUAAGAAUGGAACUUCUAUGUAAAACUUUACAAAUAAAUCUAGCCAUGUCAGUGCAAAUGGUCAUGAUAAUGGAGCAGCUGGAGAAAGUGGCUAUCAGGACGUUGAACUGAAUGGUGAAGCAUCUCCCUCAGAACAUGAUAUUUUGGAGACUCAAUCUCUCCUUCAGAUGGAGGAUCAUAAGCAACAGAUCGAACAUGUGUUGCGAAGAUUUAGAGAAUCAAUUUUUUUUUGUCCGGAUUGCGGAAUCAGUGGAACCUCUAUGGUCCAAGAAAAGUGUAACUUCAACUACGAUGGCAGAUGAACGAUCAGAUAACCAGGGAAAUAGUAAGACCUCAAGGAGUAAUGUUUAUAAUACCAUUUCUGAUAAAAGGAUUUUUGAUGGUAACACAUAUGGGGGAGUUGCUCGAGAUGUUGUCAAGUGUUAUUCUCUGCAAAAUGGAGACAUAGUGGUAUGUUUUGAAGGUUUUUUUAAUUACUGUGACAUUGUAUACUACAAGUCUACAACUUGUACUGCAUGACCUCUAGCCACUGGACGUUGAUGGACAUCACAUAAGUAACUGCAUGUUUUGUGCUCUAACCUAAGUUUAACCAAGCAGCAGGCACCUACUGGAAA